rnacentral:rRNA from 1 species
UACAUAGGGUGCAAGCGUUGUCCGGAAUUAUUGGGCGUAAAGGGCUCGUAGGCGGUCUGUUGCGUCGGGAGUGAAAACUCAGGGCUUAACCCUGAGCCUGCUUCCGAUACGGGCAGACUAGAGGUAUGCAGGGGAGAACGGAAUUCCUGGUGUAGCGGUGAAAUGCGCAGAUAUCAGGAGGAACACCGGUGGCGAAGGCGGUUCUCUGGGCAUUACCUGACGCUGAGGAGCGAAAGUGUGGGGAGCGAACAGG